GCACGUCGUUGGUGUGCAGGAUCGUGAGCUCCCAGGCGCUAGCCGAGGGCCACAGCAGCGCGCCCAGAGCCAGGAGCAGCCGCGCGGGCGCCCACGGGACCCCGGGACCCAUGGCCGCGGCGCGGGUUUUAUUUUAUUUUAGGCUGUUUUAUCACUGGAGCCAGUCUCAAAAGGAUUCAGCACCUGUACUUCAGAUAAAGAUGAAAACAAACUAAGAGAAGCCUCUGAAGACCUUGAACUUACUUUGUAGUCCAGCCUGGCCACCAACUCACAGUGAGUCUCUACCUCAGCCUCCUGAGUGCUGCAAUUACAGGCAUGUGCCAUCAUGCCCACCUCAGAAAAUGGUUUUUGUAAUUGUUCAGUUUGCCAUUUUCAGACUUGGGGGAGAAAGAACAAAGGCACAUCAGCAAACAAGCCCAAUUGAAGAACCAGCACCAUGCAUGAGCUACUGCAGGAUUGGGAACAGCAAGACCUCUGCCCCUUCCAGCACAGGGUCUGGCAAACAAGAGCAAUUAAGAUACAGGAAAAUCACACCUGACAAGUAAGGCUACCACUUAUAGGCACAGGAGGAAACCACAGAAGAGCAGCUGCACCGCUGUACCAAGAAAUGUGACCACACUUGCAUCUGCCCUGCUCACUUGGAGAAGCAGGACGACACGCUCUCUGCUCCCAAAUUCCUGAAAACAACAAACUCCUCCCUAUCGACCUAAAGACUUUGUUAUACCCUCACUUACUGAUUCUGCUCUCUCUCUCAGUUCACUCCCGUGAGAGUCAAUAAACAACCUUGGUUGACAACA